UCCUACGGGGCGCAGCAGUGAGGAAUAUUGGUCAAUGGGCUUACGCCUGAACCAGCCAAGUCGCGUGAGGGAAGACUGCCCUAUGGGUUGUAAACCUCUUUUGUCAGGGAGCAACGCCGGCUACGUGUAGCCGGACUGAGAGUACCUGAAGAAAAAGCAUCGGCUAACUCCGUGCCAGCAGCCGCGGUAAUACGGAGGAUGCGAGCGUUAUCCGGAUUUAUUGGGUUUAAAGGGUGCGUAGGCGGAAUGCCAAGUCAGCGGUAAAAUCGCGGGGCUCAACCUCGCGCCGCCGUUGAAAC
rnacentral:rRNA from 1 species